GAUGAACGCUGGCGGCGUGCCUAAUACAUGCAAGUCGAGCGAACAGACGAGGAGCUUGCUCCUCUGACGUUAGCGGCGGACGGGUGAGUAACACGUGGAUAACCUACCUAUAAGACUGGGAUAACUUCGGGAAACCGGAGCUAAUACCGGAUAAUAUAUUGAACCGCAUGGUUCAAUAGUGAAAGACGGUUUUGCUGUCACUUAUAGAUGGAUCCGCGCCGCAUUAGCUAGUUGGUAAGGUAACGGCUUACCAAGGCAACGAUGCGUAGCCGACCUGAGAGGGUGAGCGGCAACGCUGGAACUGAGACACGGUCCAGACUCCUACGGGAGGCAGCAGUAGGGAAUCUUCCGCAAUGGGAGAAAGCCUGACGGAGCAACGACGCGUGAGUGAUGAAGGUAUUCGGAUCGUAAAACUCUGUUAUUAGGGAAGAACAAAUGUGUAAGUAACUAUGCACGACUAGAAGGUACCUAAUCAGAAAGCCACGGCUAAAUACGUG
rnacentral:rRNA from 1 species